UCCGAGUUGUCCCCGGCAGUCCUUUUAGAGUCCCCACCAUCACGUGCUGGCAACAUAGAACGAGGGUUGCGCUCGUUGCGGGACUUAACCCAACAUCUCACGACACGAGCUGACGACAACCAUGCACCACCUGUCCACCGACCCCGAAGGGAAACCCCAUCUCUGGAGCGGUCCGGUGAAUGUCAAGCCUUGGUAAGGUUCUUCGCGUUGCAUCGAAUUAAUCCACAUGCUCCGCUGCUUGUGCGGGCCCCCGUCAAUUCCUUUGAGUUUUAGCCUUGCGGCCGUACUCCCCAGGCGGGGCACUUAAUGCGUUAGCGCCGGCACGGGAGGAGUCGACACCUCCCACACCUAGUGCCCAUCGUUUACGGCGUGGACUAC
rnacentral:misc_RNA from 1 species